AAAGAAACCAACCGGGAUUGCCCCAGUAACGGCGAGUGAAGCGGCAAGAGCUCAAAUUUGAAAUCUGGCCCCUCCGGGGUCCGAGUUGUAAUUUGCAGAGGAUGCUUCGGGUGCGGCCCCCGUCUAAGUGCCCUGGAACGGGCCGUCAGAGAGGGUGAGAAUCCCGUCCUGGGCGGGGUGUCCGUGCCCGUGUGAAGCUCCUUCGACGAGUCGAGUUGUUUGGGAAUGCAGCUCUAAAUGGGUGGUAAAUUUCAUCUAAAGCUAAAUACUGGCCGGAGACCGAUAGCGCACAAGUAGAGUGAUCGAAAGAUGAAAAGCACUUUGAAAAGAGAGUUAAACAGCACGUGAAAUUGUUGAAAGGGAAGCGCUUGCGACCAGACUCGCCCGCGGGGUUCAGCCGGCACUCGUGCCGGUGUACUUCCCCGUGGGCGGGCCAGCGUCGGUUUGGGCGGCCGGUCAAAGGCCUCCGGAAUGUAUCGCCCUCCGGGGCGUCUUAUAGCCGGGGGUGCAAUGCGGCCAGCCCGGACCGAGGAACGCGCUUCGGCACGGACGCUGGCAUAAUGGUCGUAAACGAC
rnacentral:rRNA from 1 species